rnacentral:rRNA from 1 species
GAGUUUGAUCGUGGCUCAGGAUGAACGCUAGCGGCAGGCUUAAUACAUGCAAGUCGUGGGGCAGCAGGUCUGUAGCAAUACAGAUGCUGGCGACCGGCAAACGGGUGCGGAACACGUACACAACCUUCCUUUAAGUGGGGAAUAGCCCAGGGAAACUUGGAUUAAUACCCCGUAACAUAUUGAAAAGGCAUCUUUUUAAUAUUAUAGCUACGGCGCUUGAAGAUGGGUGUGCGGCUGAUUAGGUAGUUGGCGGGGUAACGGCCCACCAAGCCUACGAUCAGUAACUGGUGUGAGAGCACGACCAGUCACACGGGCACUGAGACACGGGCCCGACUCCUACGGGAGGCAGCAGUAAGGAAUAUUGGUCAAUGGACGCAAGUCUGAACCAGCCAUGCCGCGUGGAGGAUGAAGGUCCUCUGGAUUGUAAACUUCUUUUAUCUGGGACGAAAAAAGGGAUUCUUUCUCACUUGACGGUACCAGAUGAAUAAGCACCGGCUAACUCCGUGCCAGCCGCCGCCGUAAC